rnacentral:rRNA from 1 species
UACGUAGGGUCCGAGCGUUGUCCGGAAUUAUUGGGCGUAAAGGGUGCGUAGGCGGUUUGGUAAGUCUUAUGUGAAAUCUACAGGCUCAACUUGUAGUCUGCAUGAGAAACUGCCGGGCUUGAGUAUGGGAGAGGUGAGUGGAAUUCCUGGUGUAGCGGUGAAAUGCGUAGAUAUCAGGAGGAACACCUGUGGCGAAAGCGGCUCACUGGACCAUAACUGACGCUGAUGCACGAAAGCUAGGGGAGCAAACAGG